AGUGAACGCUGGCGGCGUGCCUAAUACAUGCAAGUCGAACGGAGAGGCGCACGGGUGAGUAUUAUAUAGCUAAACUGCCCCUUGCUGGAGGACAAACGUUAGAAAUGACUGCUAAUACCCCAUAGCAAGGGAUGAGACUAUAUCGUCUCAGCUAGUCGGUGGGGUAACGGCCGACCGAGGCUAUGACGCGUAACUGGUCUGAGAGGAUGAUCAGCCAAAUUCGAACGGAGGCACGGUUCAGACUCCUUCGGGAGGCAGCAGUAGCGUAUAUCGCGCAAUGGGCGUAACCCAAACGCAGCAUCGCGGCGUGGAGGAUGUCACUUGUCGGAGCAGAGACUCCUGUUGUUAGCGAAGCGUUACCCAACGAAUAAGCACCGGCUAACUCCGUGCCAGCAGCCGCGGUAAUAC
rnacentral:rRNA from 1 species